GCCUGUGUGGCUCAGUGGAUAGAGCGUCAGCCUGUAGGCUGGAGGGUCCCAGAUUUGAUUCUGGCCAAGGGCA
rfam:Myotis brandtii contig191451, whole genome shotgun sequence.